UUUCCUACGGGAGGCAGCAGCAAGGAAUUUUCCACAAUGGGCGCAAGCCUGAUGGAGCAACGCCGCGUGCAGGAUGACGGCUUUCGGGUUGUAAACUGCUUUUUGGGGGGAAGACAUCGACGGUACCCCCGGAAUAAGCCUCGGCUAACUCUGUGCCAGCAGCCGCGGUAAGACAGAGGAGGCAAGCGUUGUCCGGACUUACUGGGCGUAAAGCGUCCGCAGGUGGUCGUGCAAGUGCGCUGUGAAAGCGCUCGGCUUAACUGAGCGAGGCCAGUGCAGACUGCACAACUCGAGGCCGGGAGAGGUCGGUGGAAUUGCCGGUGUAGUGGUGAAAUGCGUAGAGAUCGGCAGGAACACCCAAGGGGAAGCCAGCUGACUGGCCCGGUCCUGACACUCAGGGACGACAGCGUGGGGAGCGAACCGGAUUAGAUACCCGGGUAGUCCACGCCGUAAACGAUGGACACUCGUCCUCUGCGUGGUAACCAGUCCACGUGGGGGGCUCAGCUAACGCGGAAGUGUCCCGCCUGGGAACUACGAGCGCAAGCUUAAAACUCAAAGGAAUUGACGGGGGCCCGCACAAGCAGCGGAGCGUGUGGUUUAAUUCGACGCAACGCGCAGAACCUCACCCAGAUUUGACAUGCAGCUGCAAGCCCAUGAAAGUGGGUCGCCUUCGAGGGUGCUGCACCGGUGCUGCAUGGCUGUCGUCAGCUCGUGUUGUGAGAUGUUGGGUUAAGUCCCGCAACGAGCGCAACCCCCGCGGCUAGUUACUCGUGUCUAGCCGGACUGCCCGAUUGGGAGGAAGGUGGGGAUGACGUCAAGUCCGCAUGGCCCUUACGUCUGGGGCGACACACACGCUACAAUGGCGCCGACAAUGCGUUGCGACUGAGCGAUCAGAAGCGAACCGCACAAACGGCGUCUCAGUGCAGAUCGGGGGCUGCAACUCGCCCCCGUGAAGGCGGAGUUGCUAGUAACCGCGUAUCAGCCAUGGCGCGGUGAAUACGUACCCGGGCCUUGUACACACCGCCA
rnacentral:rRNA from 1 species